rnacentral:tRNA from 1 species
GACACUUUGGCCGAGUGGUUAAGGCGCAGGUCUGCUAAAUCUGUCUCUUUGGAGGCGUGAGUUCGAAUCUCACAGGUGUCG